rnacentral:rRNA from 1 species
GAUGAACGCUGGCGGCGUGCCUAAUACAUGCAAGUCGAGCGAACGGACGAGAAGCUUGCUUCUCUGAUGUUAGCGGCGGACGGGUGAGUAACACGUGGAUAACCUACCUAUAAGACUGGGAUAACUUCGGGAAACCGGAGCUAAUACCGGAUAAUAUUUUGAACCGCAUGGUUCAAAAGUGAAAGACGGUCUUGCUGUCACUUAUAGAUGGAUCCGCGCUGCAUUAGCUAGUUGGUAAGGUAACGGCUUACCAAGGCAACGAUGCAUAGCCGACCUGGGAGUGUGCUCGGCCCCCCAGAACCUGAGAAGCGGUCCGACCUCCUCCGGGGGGCCGAACAGGGAAUUCUGCCGAACGGGGCAAAAGCCUGGCGGAGCACCCCCGGGUAAGUGAUGAAGGCCUUCGGUUCGUAAACCCCUUUUUUUAGGAAAAAACAUAUGUGAAGGUACCGUUCCCCCUUUUACCGGAACCAAAGAAGAAAGCCCCGGUUACCUACCU